AAGAUGAGAGAGCAGUAAGGGCAUAUAACGGUCUUUGAUCUUGACGGACAGCUGUAGUCUUCUAAUUUCACCUUAGAGAGGGAGAGACACACAAACCAUAGUGCACCAGUAUAGUAAAAAAUAGUAACAUUUAUUUGAUUGCACUCACAAAAUAAUAGUUGUAAUCCAGCUUGUCAAAAUACUUGAGGGAUAGUGGUGCCGGCGUCCUUUUUCCCUUAGCAAGUAAUGGAAAAACAAACCAAAUAAAAAACCAAAUUAAAAACAAUCUAUAAACAUAAAUAAAAUAAAAAUUAGCAAUAACAAUAACAAGGUGCUGUCGUGGUCCCUCCGCCCUAAGCGUUUCGUCUCAAAACGAGACUUCCUCAGGGGAAAAUGAAGGUGCAUAUUACAGUCUGUUAAGUCCGUCUUUUUAAAAGGCCGUAAAUUCCCGCCUUCUGUAUGGCCAAUCGAAAUGUAUCACCUGCGUUAGUUUGAUGUGUUCCAAGCCUUGUUUUCAGUUCGACCAUUCUCGGAACAACUUCCGGUCUUGCGUGGAACAACAUCCGGUAUUGCGUGGAGCGCAAACAUGCGUUCCACAGCCGUAAACGGAAAUACAAGGAUCCAUACAAAAAGAUUUUUUAUUAUCAUGAAAACAAAUAGAGAAAGAAAUAGAG